UUCAACGGUCUUCUCGCGUUUACAGUUUCUCCCAAAACAUUCUCUCGUUCCUCUCUCUUCUCUGUUCUCUCGUUUCUUAGCUCUAUCCUCUCACGCAAUGAUCUCGAUUAGGAAUUCAUCGUCUUCUCCUUCAUUGCUAGUCUCAGUCCGGUGUUCAUCGCAGAAUUGGUAAGGAAUAGUUGGAUAAUCGUCCUUCAACGAUCUUUUGUUAGUAAAGAAGCUCUAAGAGAGUAAGAGUGCUGGUUUGAAUUUAAGGAGCAUGUUGCUUAAGAGUAUACCCUGUGGCGCUGAGUUGGUUCAUGUAUACCUACCAGAAGGAGAGCUCCUCAUUCUGACAAAGAUUGAACAUUCAUAAUGCAUGCCUAAUUAUAGGAUACCGAUAUAGAAUGUGACUAUACUUGAAUAACUUCAGAUUAUAAUGUUGAGAUUUGCUUUAACUUGAACUAAAAAGGCAUCGGCUAAAGAAGCCCUAUUAGCUAGGCUUGUCAAUCUAACACAUCAAGGACUUUCUUGCAAUUUGCAGUUUGUUCUAUGAUUUAUUAAUUCCUAGAAUUACAAGCAAUGUGUCUAUUUGUGUUAUAUGCUAUCUUUGGUGUUUAAAUGACAUGCUUCUUUGUGUGUUAGUAUAAUUAACAAUCUUGAGACAGAGAAAGGACCGGAAUUCAAUUAUGCAUUCUCAUUGGCCCCGAAGUACAAGAUGCUGAGUUGGUGCUCUUGCUCGCAUGCUCAGGACAGCCCCACUAGUACGCCAAGAUUCAAGCUGAUAUUCAUCACGCUUUCAAAGCAGCACCACCCACAUGAUGUUAAUUUUGGCACAGGUAUUGAAUUUUUUAUGGCACAGAGCGCAUCAGGUGCCCUCUAAGAGCAUCAGGUGCCCUCUAAGAGUUACAGGGAGAUGAAAGAACUACUACUCUGUAAGAGUGGAUAUCGGGUGAUUAACAAGGAAGACCUUUAAUCUUAGCCCUUGGAUAUCAAAGGGACAAAGUUAGCAUUUAAGAUUUGGGGAGGCCUAAUCAAUAUCUAUGUUGCACAUAGACGGAUACGGGUACUGGUGUGAAUUCGAGUACGGGGACAGAAAACAACAAGAUUUCGAAAUUUUAAGAAUGGGUACCGUACCCAUGCAGAAUACGUGUCGUAUCGAGUACGGGUACGAGUACGUGACCUAGAAGAAGUACCCAUGCUACAUAGAUCAAUAUCAUACACCAGCUCCAUAUGCACGCAUUUGUGCGAAAACAUGUAGAAAAUCAAAUCAAUUUAUCCCACUAAAUUAGGGACUUUAAUUUUUUUUUUCAAAAAUUUAGUUGAGAGGGAAGUAACUGAUGUGUUGUAAAUUUUCAUUGUGUUCUUGUGUUAUGCCUUUUUUUAUUGUUUUUACCUUUUUAAUUAAUUAGGCAGUUAUAUCUUUUUUUU